rnacentral:lncRNA from 1 species
UGGAUGGCAGCCUACUUAUCCGAUCUGUCUGAAGCUGUUGCACUUGACUUGGUUGGAUCAUGUAUCUACAAUUGAUUUAUUUUUAAAUAAACAUAAGAAUGAUCAAGAAUAGUAAAAUAUGAUGAUAUUUUGUGUUCACAUUUCAAAGCAUAUCUUUAAAAUAGUUUUAGACUUUGAGGUACUAGCAAAUUAAGAUAAGUUCUUGAUGUGUAGGUUAAAGAUAAGGUUGUUUUUCCUAUAGAUUUAGAGUUAGAGUUUAUUUUAUAUUGUUAUUUAUAUUACUC